rnacentral:misc_RNA from 1 species
AUUGUAUUUUUUUUUUUUUUUUUUUUUUUUUUUUUUUUUUUUUUUUUUUUUUUUUUUAUGUUUUAAUAGUAAAAAAUUAAAAAAAAUUUUUUUUUUUUUUUUAAAUUUACUAUUAACUUUUGACAGAACGAAGUUUGUCCGGGCAGCUAGUUAUAAAUAAAUCUAAAGAGAAAUAUAUCUUUCUUAAUCAAAACAACAAUAAAUUAAUCAAAAGAGCACAACAUCUUAGUAGCAACGAAACGUAAAUAGAAGAUAAAAGUUAUGAUAAAAAUAAUAAUAAUAAUUUAAACAAAUGUUCGUAAUCUUAGGGCCACUUAGUUCCAUUAGAACCAGUGCAAUACAUCUGUAGUUGAAACAACAAACAUAACAAAAUUCCAAUUUAUUUAUAUUCAUAAUAACAUAACAUUUGUCUAUCGGUCGAACUAAAUCUCGUGAUGUAUGGAACGAGCGUAAGCAUUUGAUCUCGGCGGUUAAACUCAGAUAUUUACAAUAUACACAAACAAUUUAAUAAUAACAGUCUGUUUUCCAUUUUAAUAAAUUAUAAAAUAAAUUACAAAAUUACAAUUUUUAACCGACUUCAAAAAAAGGUUUCUCAAUUUGACCGUAUAUAUAUUUGUGUGUUCGCGGAUAAUUUCGACGUUUAUGAACAGAUUUUGAUAAUUAUUUUUUUUUGCUGGAAUGGAAAUAUCUCAAGGGUUGUGUCAAAAUAAGGAUACUAUGAUCUGAUGAUGGCAUCCCAGAGAAAUCGAAGGGGAAUCUUCGUAAAUCGUAGUGGCGACUAGUACGUCUGUUAAUUUUUUCACCUACUUAUACAUACAUUGUAUUACUUGUCGAUGUAAUUGAAAUCGAUUUUUUUCGUUUGCUAGCAAACACAAUUAUUUUAGGACAGCAAAUAAGCAUAUGAUCCGCUAUGCGCUAUGAAAGCAGUUACCGUAGCUAAUGGACACUUGCAACACCAGGUGCAUCAAAAGCGCUUUGCUAAGCCUACGCCCCACCCUCGUCUGGAACUCUGGCUGCCUUAUUCCCCACAGAAACAUAACACUAAUUGAGAACAGUAAUAUUUUAAUGUGACCUUGUCCAAGUUUGGGUAACUUCGUAAGACGCGCUGCUCCUAAUUCUGAGCAAGUUUUUAACCAGCUGCGCCUCAUAGAAUUUUUUUUUAUCGACUUUACGUGAAAAAUUAGAUGUUUUUUAAUGAAAAUGGACGCGGUGACAGUUUAAUCAUGUCAAUGUGUCACCACACCGUGUCUUGAUGACGCUGAAAUCAAGAUCAAAGAAGUUACCAGGGACAGUCCCUGGUAACACAUUUACAACAUUUUUUUUUAAUUUCAUGCUAGCGCUGUAUUGCACCGAUAUAAUGAUGCUGUCAAUCGAGGGUUCGUACCAGCUCAGCAGCUUACCAGCUAAACAUUUGUUUAACUUGCUGUGUUUAUUUUAUUUUUCCUGAUCCAGUUGUAUAAAAAAAAAGAAUGAGUAAAUUGAGUAUUGAAUAGAAUAGUGCAAGUUUUGUGAUAGUUUCGUGAGAAUAAUUGUGUUAGUUGUCAAACCGAAAAAAGGAUUUUAUUUUAAAUCGAAAAGUAACAAAAUACGGAAAUCGCCAACGUAUUUAGUUCAAAAAUUGUUUUUUUUUUUAUGUUACUAGGUCGGCAAACAAGCGUACGGCUCACCUGAUGGUAAGCGAUUGCCGUAGCUUAUAGACACCUGCAACACCAGAAGCAUCGCAAGCGCGUUGCCGACCCAAUCCCCAAUCCCCCCAGGAGCUCUGGUCACCUUACUCACCAACAGGAACACAAUACUGCUUGAAAACAGUAUUAUUUUGCUGUGGUCUUCUGUAAGGUCGAGGUACUACCCCAGUCGGGCUGCUCCAUAUUUUGAGCAGGAAAUUCCUGCUGUGCCCUACCUCAGUAAGUCAAUUAAAAACGCGUUUUUAGAUAUAUCUCCAAAAUUACUCGUCAGAUUUCGUCUAGAUUUUAAUGAAACCACACGACAAGCCCUAACUAUCGAAUACAAAAAAUCAUCAAAAUUGGUAUAGCCAACAGUUAUGAGGCAUGUGCCUCAUAAAAUACAAUCAAAUUGAGAACCUCUUCCUUUUUUAAGUAGGUUAAAAAUAAUCAUUAAUCAGCCUUGAAAACUUAAAUAGUAUUUUAUACCGUCUUUUUUAAACCCAAAUAAUUUUUAUGUAGUAAUUCUACAUCAAAUAUAUCCAUAAAAGAACAUCAAAGCAGUCAAUCUUUCCGAAUCACGUUUUUACUUUUGGCAGGUUUAUUAUAGUAAUAAAUUUAAGAUUACAAAUAAAAAUAAAGUCUUAAAUAAAUUUGCGUUUAAAUUAUAUGAAAAACUCUGUUCAUUAUAAAAACUUUUAAUUGAACUUUUGAGAGUAAUUUUAUCGGGGAAACCGACAUAAUGAAGGAAAAAAAACUGAUUACUUCAAUGAAAUACACCUCUAUAUAAUUUAAAUUGAAAAUUUAGAUUACAUUACCAAUAAUAUUUUACUAUAUAGACACAUAAUGACUGUAAAGCUUUUUACCUAAAUGCCUUCACGUUUUUUUUUUUUUUGGUAUCGUAGGGGAACCCAUUUACGGGUGAUAUCCAGGAUGCCCCGGUAGGCAUUCCUAGACCGUAUGUCGACUUCAGCACUUGGGGGUGCAAUACCGACCGAAACCCCUGCGGGAGCCUUCAGCCGCUUUAAUUGGAGGGUCCCGGAUCUGCAGGCAACAGGAUCCCUCCAGCGACAGGCUGGCCUCGGCGAAAAGGCCAGACUUCUCCUCCAUGGGGACUGUCCGGCUCACCUCUGAGCAAUCUCGACGACGCCAUGUCUAGCAGGACCGGGUUCCCAUCCCGGCCCGACAAGAGCACAGCGGUGUUACUGGAGACGUCAAUGUUACGAGCUUAAUAUCUGAAUAUAAUUGUCGCAAUCGAAAAAAAUCGACUUCAAUUACAUCGACAAGUAAUAGAAGUAAACGGAAAAAAAAAUUAACAAACAUACUAUAGUCGUCACUACGAUUUUCGAGGGUUUCCCUCGAUUUCUCUGGGACUCCAUCAUAAGAUCCUUAUUUCCUUAUCACGGUACCACACUUGGGAUAUCUCCUUUCCAAAAAAAAAUAAUUAUCAAAAUCGGUCCAUAAUCGGGGAAGUUAUCCGCGAACACGCAUAAAUAUGUAUAUAACCUCCUCCUUUUUUGAAAUAUGUAUAAAAGACAACCGAACUAUAGAAAUAAGUCAGGAUAAACAAAAUUUAAACCUAAUUAAUGUAUUAUUUAUUACACACCGCUUUAUCUAAAAAAUGGCUUUGAGUUUCUCUGUGACACUCAUGAGCGUUCCCUCAGGUCAUCUUCAACCUUAAUACUCACUCCUUCCCUUACUACUUCCUUUUAUUCAAACUCCUUUUCUGUUAAAGCUGUACAACUUUGGAACUCUCUUCCUCUCUCUAUAAGAAAAGCUCUCUUGCUUGUUUAAAAAUAUAUCUAAAGGCGCAUUUUUUGUCACUAAAUACCUCAUAAAUAUCAUUAGCAUCUCCAUAAAUAUAUAUAUUAUGUAGUAUUUUGUUUAUGUAGUAUAUAUGUAUGUAUAUGUAUAUUGUGUAUAUAUGUAUGUGUAUAUGUACUAUGUAUAUUUACUUCAUUCAAUCUCAUAUUGCUUGUUAAUUAUAUGGCAAUUCUUUAUCAACUGUUUGUACACUUCCCUACCGCUUCUCUUUUUCUACGUUAUGUCCUAUGCCCAAAGGUUGUCAAGGAGAAAUCGCUCUUAGCGAUAAGACCGCCUUUGUAAAUCUUUUUUUGCAUGCAUAACUUUUUUUUGUAAUGUUUCUUUGUGGUGUACAAUAAAUAUUAUUUAUUAUUAUUAUUUAUCGACACGGGUUCACUAUAAAACUCAUAUGAAUGAUUGAUGCCGCACAAACAACCAGUAAAAUAAACGUUUCAUUAUCAACGCCCUCUACGAUUUUCUUCUGCGUCCUGUGUUCGGAAAACACACAAUACACAUGCACAAACUCAUACACCUAUCCCAUAUAAAGUAAUUCUGCAGUUUAGAUUACUAAUAACUCCUUGUCAUUUCAAACAUUAAAAAAACAAAAAAUUGUAAUAAAAAAGGCACCAGUCAAUAAAUAAAUAAAAAAAAAAAAACAAAUAGACUGUGUAAAGUAACGUGUGUGUGUGUGUUUGAGAGAGAGUCUAUGUGGUUAUUUAAUAUGUAUAUUAUUUACAAACAAACAUAAACAAGCAAUUUCUAUACAUCUAAACUAUUACGCCACGCGGUUGUGUCCACUAUAUCUUACAAUACAGCGUCCAAUAGUAACGCUCUACUAGUUGGCAACGAUCUAGCCACGCCCCCUUGUACCGAGGUGAUUCACAUGAUGACGAAUUGACAAAUUCAAGAUGUUCGCGUUUCUAAUUUAUUUGUUAAAUCUUUAAAAACAAACAGUCCCAUUUUGAACAUUUGUCGUUUUCCUUACAAUAUAGGAAUCACAUAAGAACAAUAAAAAGCCUUA